UACAGAGGGCUCAAGCGUUGUUCGGAUUCAUUGGGCGUAAAGGGCGCGUAGGCUGCUGGGUAAGUCGGGUGUGAAAUCUCAGAGCUCAACUCUGAAACUGCACUCGAUACUGCUUUGCUCGAGGACUGGAGAGGAGAUUGGAAUUCACGGUGUAGCAGUGAAAUGCGUAGAUAUCGUGAGGAAGACCAGUGGCGAAGGCGGAUCUCUGGACAGUUCCUGACGCUGAGGCGCGAAGGCCAGGGGAGCAAACGGG
rnacentral:rRNA from 1 species